rnacentral:rRNA from 1 species
GACGAACGCUGGCGGCGUGCUUAACACAUGCAAGUCGACCGGAAAGGCCCUGCUUUUGUGGGGUGCUCGAGUGGCGAACGGGUGAGUAACACGUGAGUAACCUGCCCUUGACUUUGGGAUAACUUCAGGAAACUGGGGCUAAUACCGGAUAGGAGCUCCUGCUGCAUGGUGGGGGUUGGAAAGUUUCGGCGGUUGGGGAUGGACUCGCGGCUUAUCAGCUUGUUGGUGGGGUAGUGGCUUACCAAGGCUUUGACGGGUAGCCGGCCUGAGAGGGUGACCGGCCACAUUGGGACUGAGAUACGGCCCAGACUCCUACGGGAGGCAGCAGUGGGGAAUAUUGCACAAUGGGCGGAAGCCUGAUGCAGCAACGCCGCGUGCGGGAUGACGGCCCUCGGGUUGUAAACCGCUUUCGCCUGUGACGAAGCGUGAGUGACGGUAAUGGGUAAAGAAGCACCGGCUAACUACGUG